GGGGGCAUAGCUCAGUUGGGAGAGCAGCAGACUGAAGCAACACAAGUUGUAUUCUGAAGGUCCCGCGUUCGAUCCGCGGUGCCCCCA